UUGAAGCAGUCUCUUCCCCCUGGUACCGACUUUUUUCCCUUUUAUUUUAUUUUUGUGAUUCAAUAGCUAGAUGUAUAAUGUUCUAUGAUCAUGAUAUUUAUUUUGUUAUGAUCUAGUUUCUUCAGCUCAAAUAGCUUCUUUUACAUGUAUGAAUUUAAUCCACAUGCUCAAAAUGUGCUAGAUUUGCUUGUAGUUUAUUUUCUUUUUGUUCAAAGCAAUAGAUUGUUGGCUUAGAAAUUCACUAUUCUUUAGCUUCUGUCUUUCUCUCGCUCUGAGGUCCCUGGACAGUGGGGAGGGUUGAUUUUAUGGUCUUCCAAAAUUGCUUGAGGUCGUGUCUAAUUAUCUGUUCAUGUGUUUUGUUUGUAGGUUUGAGUGUCCAAGAACUGUGA
rnacentral:misc_RNA from 1 species